CGAGGGGGCCGUCCCGUCACCCCCGGAAGUUCCUCCUCCACGCUUUAGGGCCGGGCCACUUCUUCUGCCACGUCUGCAUUUCGGGGACCCGGAUGCCGCGCAUGCGCCUCUUUCAUCUUCCCAUCAUGGCCGCCGCCUGUGCGCCUCUGCUGAGUCACCCUGCACUCAUUGGAUCAGCUGACUACCUAGACCAGUAACCUGGCUCAAUCAGUUCUGCCAUUCCACCCAGGAACAGAAAACAGCAAGAAAACCUCACUUUGACUCCCUGUGAUUCCGUCUUCAACCUGACCAAUCAGCACUCCCCGCUUCCCAAGCUCCUACUCGCCAAAUUAUCUUUAAGAACUCUGAUCCUCAAAUGCUCAGGGAGACUAAUUUGUGUAAUAAUAAAACUCUGGUCUCCCACACAGCUGGCUCUGCGUGAAUUACUCUUUCUCCAUUGCAAUUCCCUGGUCUUGAUAAAUCAGCUUUGUCAAGGCAGCAGGCAGGGUGAACCCACUGAGCGCUGACAUUGUGUGCCAAGCCAUGUUCUUGGGUCUGGAAAUAGAGCAGUGAACAAAAGUGUUUGUUCUCAUAUUAUUGACAGUAAAUAUCAGUUAUUCUGAGGCACAGAGUGGUUUAUUCACUGAAAAAUUUGCACUUUAGGCUGUGCUGGAAACUAUAUAUUAGGCAUUGAGCAUGCUUUACUAAACAAGCAGAUUGUUCUUGUCCUCUGUUUUGUUUUGUGACAGUCUUGCUCUGUCUCCAGGCCGGAGUGCAGUGGCCCAAUCUUGGCUCACUGCAACUUCCGCCUCCUGGUUUCAAGCGAUUCUUAUGCCUCAGACUCCCGAGUAGCUGGGAUUACAGGCAUGCGCCACCACCCCAGCUAAUCUUUGUAUGUUUGGUAUAGACAGGGUUUCACUAUAUUGGCCAGGAUGGUCUUGAUCUCCUGACGUUGUGAUCCGCCCCCCUUGGCCUCCCAAAGUGCUGGGAUUACAGGUGUGAGCCACUGCGCCCAGCCUGUUUUGUUUUAGAGACGAUUUUGCUAUGUUGCUCAGGCUGGGCUCAAGUGGUCCUCCUACCUCAGUAGGAGUAGCUGGGUAGUUGAGUAGCUAGGGCUACAGGUAUGUGCCCCCACAUCUGGCUAAUUUUUUGUAGAGGUGAGGUCUCCCUGUGUUGCCCAGGGUGGUCUCAAAUUCCUCCCACCUUAGCCUUCCAAAUUGCUGAGAUUACAGGUGUGAAGCCACCACACCUGACCUAUCAGUUUAUAGUCAGUGGUUAAGUGUGAUCCUCAGAUCAGCAGUAUCAGUAACACCUGGAAACUUGCUUGAAAUGCAAAUUUCAGACCCGCUUUACAUAGAUAAGAGCCAGAAAUUCUGGAGGUGGGGCCCAGCAAGCUAUGGUUUAAGGCCCUCCAGGUGAUUCCAUUGCUGAUUGAGAACCACUAGUCUAGAUGAAUAAUUUGCCAAAUUCAACUAAGAUAUGUUGAGCACCUGACCUAAACUGGUCCUCUGCUAAGCAUUUUCACAUGAUUCAUCCCACUUGACUCAUAUCGAUAUAGGAAAGUAAAUAUCCUCUGUCUUGCUUAAGGUUGCACCCACUAGGGCCGGGCAUGGUGGCUCAUGCCUGUAAUCCUAGCACUUUGGGAGGCCGAGACAGGCGGAUCACCUGAAGUCAGGAGUUUGAGAGCAGCCUGGCCAACCCUGUCUCUGCUAAAAAUACAAAAAUUAGCUGGAUGUCGUGGCACAUGCCUGUAAUCCCAACUACUCAGGAGGCUGAGGAAGGAGAAUCGCUUGAACCCAGGGGACGGAGGUUGCAGUGAACCAAGAUUGCACCACUGCACUCCAGCCUGGGACACAGGGCAACACUCCAUCUUAAAAAAAAGGUUGCACCCCUGAUAAGUGGUAGAUCCUAGAUUCAGUUUCUUUCUUCCCCCUCCCCCCACCUUUUUUUUUUUCUAUUUGAGACAAGGUCUCUGUCACCCAGGCUGGAGUGCAGUAGCAUGAUCUUGGCUCACUUCACCCUCUGCCUCCCAGGCUCAAGUGAUCCUCCCCACUCAGCCUCCCUAGUAGCUGGGACUACAGGCAUGUGCCACCACUCUUAGCUAACUAAGUUUUGUAUUUUUGUAGAGAUGGGGUUUCACCAUGUUACCCAGGCUGGUCUCAAACUCCUGGGCUCAAGCAAUCUGCCCGCCUUGGCCUUCCAAAGUGCUGGGAUUACAGGCAUAAGCCACCAUGCCCGGACCAUAGUUCAUAGUUUCUUUCUUUUUUUUGUUUUUUGAGAGUCUCACUCUCAAAAGGGGUAUGGGGCGGCUCCAGGGCCAGGGAUGGGACGGCCACAGUUGCGGCAGCUCCAGGACGAGCAAGUGGAUCCCGGGAAGCGCUGUGAGCUCCCGAGCCAGCCGGGAGGACGCUUACUACAGCUGCUCAGAAGCACUGCUGGAAGCUCAGAUGUGGGCGCCCCAGCCAGAAACCUAGAGGGGUACAGGGAAACUACCGAGAAGCCCCUCCUGAUGCCCCAG
rnacentral:lncRNA from 10 species